rnacentral:rRNA from 1 species
GACGGACGCUGGCGGCGUGCUUAACACAUGCAAGUCGAGCGAUGAAGUUUCUUCGGAAAUGGAUUAGCGGCGAACGGGUGAGGAACACGUGAAGAAUUUGCCCUCCACUUUGGGAUAACACCGGGAAACCGGUGCUAAUACCGAAUAUUGAAACAUAAGUGGCAUCACUGAGUUUUGAAAGAAUUUCGGUGGAGGAUGACUUCGCGGCCUAUCAGCUAGUUGGUGAGGUAAUGGCUCAUCAAGGCAACGACGGGUAGCCGGCCUGAGAGGGCGACCGGCCACACUGGGGCUGAGACACGGCCCAGACUCCUACGGGAGGCAGCAGUGGGGAAUAUUGGGCAAUGGAGGAAACUCUGACCCAGCGACGCCGCGUGCGGGAUGAAGGCCUUCGGGUUGUAAACCGCUUUCAGUAGGGACGAAGCUUCCGGGGUUAAUAGCCUACGGGGUGACGGUACCUACAGAAGAAGCCCCGGCUA